rnacentral:rRNA from 1 species
CCUACUGGUGGCUGCAGUGAGGAAUAUUGGUCAAUGGGCGCGAGCCUGAACCAGCCAAGUCGCGUGAGGGAAGACGGGCCUAUGGAUUGUAAACCUCUUUUGUCGGGGAGCAAAAGCCGCCACGCGUGGCUUUCCGAGAGUACCCGAAGAAACAGCAUCGGCUAACUCCGUGCCAGCAGCCGCGGUAAUACGGAGGAUGCGAGCGUUAUCCGGAUUUCUUGGGUUUAAAGGGUGCGCAGGCGGAAGAUCAAGUUAGCGGUAAAAUUGAGAGGCUCAACCUCUUCGAGCCGUUGCAACUGGUUUUCAUGAGUGAUUGAGAAGUAUGCGGAAUGAGUGGUGUAGCGGUGAAAUGCAUAGA